rnacentral:lncRNA from 1 species
GAUCAUAUAUGUAUUAUUUUAUAGGAUAACCUCAAAGAAUCUAGGGGAUAUAACUUCUACCAUGUUAAAAAAUAAAAGUUAUUUGGCAUUUUUUUUAGAAAAAGAGUACCUUAGUGAAGGAACUGAUGUCUUUGAUGUGAAACUUAUAAAGUUUGACAGGUAGAAGUACCGACAUAAUCUAGUGAACUUAUAGAAUCAUAUUUGAUUAGAUCAAAUCUGGAAUCCGUUGUAGAAGCACCAUUAAG